rnacentral:rRNA from 1 species
AUAGCGGAGGAAAAGAAACCAACCGGGAUUGCCUCAGUAACGGCGAGUGAAGCGGCAAGAGCUCAAAUUUGAAAUCUGGCCCCUCCGGGGUCCGAGUUGUAAUUUGCAGAGGAUGCUUCGGGUGCGGCCCCUGUCUAAGUGCCCUGGAACGGGCCGUCAGAGAGGGUGAGAAUCCCGUCUUGGGCAGGGUGCCCGUGCCCGUGUGAAGCUCCUUCGACGAGUCGAGUUGUUUGGGAAUGCAGCUCAAAAUGGGUGGUAAAUUUCAUCUAAAGCUAAAUACCGGCCGGAGACCGAUAGCGCACAAGUAGAGUGAUCGAAAGAUGAAAAGCACUUUGAAAAGAGAGUUAAACAGCACGUGAAAUUGUUGAAAGGGAAGCGCUUGCAACCAGACUCGGCCUCGGGGUUCAGCCAGCAUUCGUGCUGGUGUACUUCCCCGGGGCCGGGCCAGCGUCGGUUUGGGCGGCCGGUCAAAGGCCCCAGGAAUGUAUCGUCCUCCGGGACGUCUUAUAGCCUGGGGUGCAAUGCGGCCAGCCUGGACCGAGGAACGCGCUUCGGC